rnacentral:rRNA from 1 species
UACGUAGGGUGCGAGCGUUAAUCGGAAUUACUGGGCGUAAAGCGUGCGCAGGCGGUUUGUUAAGAUAGGCGUGAAAUCCCCGGGCUCAACCUGGGAACUGCGUUUAUGACUGGCAGGCUAGAGUCCGGCAGGGGAGACUGGAAUUCCUGGUGUAGCGGUGAAAUGCGUAGAUAUUGGGAGGAACACCAGUGGCGAAGGCGGCUACCUGGACCGGUUCUGACGCUGAUGCGCGAAAGCGUGGGUAGCAAACAGG